rnacentral:rRNA from 1 species
CCUACGGGUGGCAGCAGUGAGGAAUAUUGGUCAAUGGGCGUGAGCCUGAACCAGCCAAGUCGCGUGAGGGAAGAAGGUACAGUGUAUCGUAAACCUCUUUUGUCAGGGAACAAAGGCGGGGACUAGUCCCCGGUUGUGGGUACCUUAUGAAAAAGCAUCGGCUAACUCCGUGCCAGCAGCCGCGGUAAUACGGAGGAUGCGAGCGUUAUCCGGAUUUAUUGGGUUUAAAGGGUGCGUAGGCGGCCUUUUAAGUCAGCGGUAAAAGCCCGGGGCUCAACCCCGGCGUGCCGUUGAAACUGGCGGGCGGGAGUUGGAGAGAGGUAGGCGGAAUGCGCGGUGUAGCGGUGAAAUGCUUAGAUAUCGCGCAGAACCCCGAUUGCGAAGGCAGCGUACCGGGUCCAGACUGACGCUGAGGCACGAAAGCGUGGGUAUCGAACAGGAUUAGAUACCCGAGUAGUC